AUGAAGAAACUUGGACUUCUCCCUGCUUCACAGAUGGGUUAUGAGGCACUCCAAAGAAAGCGGCAUUCUAAGAAGUAUUAUGACCAUCUCCUUGGAAACCACGUGGCAUCACUUUACCACAUUCUUUUGGUCACAAGGAGAAGGAAUUAUAUACCAGCUGUUUUUGGAGGCAUGUGUCAGGCUGGAAUGCACUGGCACAAUCAUGGCUCACUGCUGCCAUGGACUCAUUCCUGGGCUCAAGUCAUCCUCCCACCUCAGCCUUCUGAGCAGCAAGGACUACAGGUUUUGAAGUACGAGGUUCAUCACUAUUCUACACGGAGCUCAACUGUCAAAGUCUGAACUCUCCAAUAUGGUAGUCACCAGCCACAUGUAUCUACUCAGUGAUGGAUAGGUAGCUA
rnacentral:lncRNA from 1 species